UGGGAAUUUGGACGAAUGGGCGAAAGCCUGAUCCAGCAAUGCCGCGUGUGUGAAGAAGGCCUUCGGGUUGUAAAGCACUUUUGUCCGGAAAGAAAUCCUUGGCUCUAAUACAGUCGGGGGAUGACGGUACCGGAAGAAUAAGCACCGGCUAACUACGUGCCAGCAGCCGCGGUAAUACGUAGGGUGCAAGCGUUAAUCGGAAUUACUGGGCGUAAAGCGUGCGCAGGCGGUUUGCUAAGACCGAUGUGAAAUCCCCGGGCUCAACCUGGGAACUGCAUUGGUGACUGGCAGGCUAGAGUAUGGCAGAGGGGGGUAGAAUUCCACGUGUAGCAGUGAAAUGCGUAGAGAUGUGGAGGAAUACCGAUGGCGAAGGCAGCCCCCUGGGCAAGUACUGACGCUCAUGCACGAAAGCGUGGGGGAGCAAACNGGAUUAAUNCCCUGGUAGUCCACGCCCUAAANGAUGUCAACUAGUUGUUGGGGGAUUUCAUUUUCCUUAGUAACGUAGCUAACGCGUGAAGUUGACCGCCUGGGGAGUACGGUCGCAAGAUUAAAACUCAAAUAAUUG
rnacentral:rRNA from 1 species